CCCAUGGUCAGCGGCAGCCAAGCAGGGAGGGUGGGCACAACCUGGAGGCUGGGCUUGGGGCCAGGGCCCUAGGGCAUCCCCCCUUUGGCCCCACAUUUGCUGGAAUGGGGCGCGGGGAGGGGGUAGACACUAUUUACUUUGGACAGGGCAUCAGGAAGAAAAAGAGUCGAGGGGCGGAGACUGGUUUUAAAGGUGGGGGGUGGCGCUGGGGCAAAGACCAACAACCUGGGGACUUCUUGGGAAGUUGAGAGUAAACAGCAGGACCAGGAGAUGCAGUCUGGGGGCGCAGAGACUUGGGGAAGUAGAGACUCUCAUCUAGACGACUGAUAGGUGUGGGGAACACUUGGAGAAUAAAAGAAAAUAUUGGGGAGUCCUGACGAGUUGGUCUGUGAACCCCAAGGCCAGAGUGAAUAGCUCUGGAGCCCUUCGACUAGAGGGACAGCGGGGGAAGGCGAGGAGUAGGAGCUGCGGGGUCCCCGAGGGGCUGAAGCCUCGGAGCUCAAGGAAGCCAAAGAAACCCGACGUCUUCAAGAGCGAAGUGGUUGACGGAGAAAAACCAACCAAAGCAAAGCAAAGGAAGAGAGUGAAGGAAAGCAGACUAAAACCACGCAUCUCCGAGACACUUAGCCACUGUGGAAUGGAGUUCCAGACAGCCGAAAGGACUUCUGUGGCUUUUGAGCCUUUGGAAACAUUCCUUCCAAAUCCUGCUGGAGGAGCAGGGGUUGCUAAAACCACAGAUGGAAACUCGACACAGGGAGAGGCCGGGACUCCAGAAAAACUACUUUGGCCUCCGGUGAUGUGUUACCAUCAUGUGGCCCCACCACUCGACUUUACUGGUGCCAAAGUAAGAAGUCCGGUGAGUGGUCCAGGGUCACGGAGGGAGGUGGAGGCAGAUCUGCCUUCCCCGUCGGGGCUCCUUCCUUGACAAGAAACGAGUUGAGGUGCUGGGCUUGUUGAUUGAAAGCUCAGUGGCCUCUCAAUUUAGUGAUCUUUUUCCUGUACCAAAGCUAGUCUUUUUUCCUGAUACAUGAAAACCUCAAGGCUCCUUCUCUCCUUUCCGCCUCUUUCAGAGUCCCCCCCCCCCAUAGAUUCCAUCCUCCUAAAUUCUUUGGGUCAUAUACUAUGCUGUCCUGUGACCAUGCCUCCUGCUAGUGUGUCCCAGCUUCUAGCAUUGGCAAAGAUUUUCUAGAAAGAUUGUGAAGAUGCAGAUCCCCUGGUCUGAGCAUCAGCCUUCAGACGUUCUGGAUCAGGAAUCUGAAGUUUUAAUAGGAGUCCUCUGUGAUUCUGAUGCAGGGGAGCCAGAAAUCUCACCUUAACAAUCUCUCCCUUACAAUCACCCACCUCCACUGGGGGGCAGUUUUCUGCUUGUGUAAUCGAGGUCUUUGGAAUUCCCACCCCAUCAAAUACUAGCUCACCUGAGCUUGGUCACUGAGCAUUUGUUAAAGCUGAUUUCACACCUGUCAAAUCUGAAUACCAGUUCCUAUAUUCUAAGGGGGUCAUGGAAGAUUAAAAACACAAUGUUCAGGGGCGCCUGGGUGGCACAGCGGUUAAGCGUCUGCCUUCUGCUUAGGGCGUGAUCCCGGCGUUAUGGGAUCGAGCCCCACAUCGGGCUCUUCCGCUGUGAGCCUGCUUCUUCCUCUCCCACUCCCCCUGCUUGUGUUCCCUCUCUCGCUGGCUGUCUCUAUCUCUGUCGAAUAAAUAAAUAAAAUCUUUAAAAAAAAAAAACAAUGUUCAGAGUAGUGAAGAGUAGUUCUGACCAUUGGUAGUUACAGAGAAUAGGGCAUAAAAUUUCCUUCUUUGGCGUAGGCAUGGUCUUAAAAAGUGGUCUGGGGAAGACCACAAAUCUCUCGAGGUUUAAAGAAAUUAAUGGCAAGAUAUUAAGCAAGAGGCUACGUAGAGAAAAGGGUAGGAUUUUGACUGAGAGGUUUGCACAGCCCCGUAGAUCCAGGGGGGUGAGCCACAAGUCUGACCCUAGCUAGGUGACCUUGGGCAAGUCACAUGGUCUGUCCGAAGCUCCACUACCCACCUGUAGGAUAGGGGAUGAUAACGGCCGUCCUCACCUGUCCUGCCAGACUGUGGUGCGGAUCAGAUGGAAUAUAUCUAAGCAUUUUGUGGAUUAUCAGCUUCUUCGGAAAUACACGUAAGCUGUUUCCACACCAAAAAUGCAGGUGCCUAAUCCACUGGAUAGUUCUCUCAGGAUAGAAUAAAGAGACCAAUUAAAAAGCAGAUUUUCAGGAAAAACACUGACCAAAAAUAGAGCCGGAGUUGGAUCGGUGCCUCAUGUGGUCAAGAAAAGUAUUCGAUUACUGUCCCUUUAUUUGCCCAUUUCUGGGAGUUGGGGUGUUGCUGUAUCAUGUGAGUAAGGCUUUGAAAUUCCUGUUCUAAUCUUUAGUAGCAACGACACAACCUAUAAUCUCUUCUGUUUUUCCUUU
ensembl:lncRNA